rnacentral:rRNA from 1 species
GGAGGAAAAGAAACUAACUAGGAUUCCCUCAGUAGCUGCGAGCGAACAGGGAAGAGCCCAGCACCGAAUCCCGCGGCCGACAUCGGGCGCCGGGAAAUGUGGUGUUCGGGAGGGUCCACUAUCCCGAGGUUAUGCGAUGCGUCCAAGUCCUUCUUGAACGGGGCCACAGCCCAUAGAGGGUGCCAGGCCCGUAGUGACCRUCGCUGAUCGCGGGAGGAUCUCUCCUUAGAGUCGGGUUGCUUGAGAGUGCAGCCCUAAGUGGGUGGUAAACUCCAUCUAAGGCUAAAUAUGACCACGAGACCGAUAGCGAACAAGUACCGUGAGGGAAAGUUGAAAAGCACUUUGAAGAGAGAGUUCAAGAGUACGUGAAACCGUUUAGGGGUAAACCUGAGAAACCCGAAAGGUCGAAGGGAGAAAUUCAUUCGCGUUUCGCCGCAGGAGUGGAACGAUCGAAUAGUGACGGAGAAUCUUCGGGUUUUCCGCGCCUUUCGUUCUUCGAACCAGUAGCGAACGCGUGCACUUUUCUCCUGGUAGGACGUCGCGAUCCGUUGGGUGUCGGUCUACGGCUCGCGGUGGAGCCCGUUUGCGUUUUUUGCGCGGACGGACCCGCGGUGUCCCGGCCGACUCGCUCGACGGUAUACGAAAGGUUUAGGGCCGCUCUCGGAGCGUUCGGCUCGGCGCAAGCGCGCCAGAUGCGUUGGCGAUCGGACCUAGUGCCGAUUCUGACCUCUGGUGACUGUUGGCGGCGAAGUUCUCGAACUGUGCCUUCAGACCGAUCUGCGACGCUAUAGCUUUGGGUACUUUCAGGACCCGUCUUGAAACACGGACCAAGGAGUCUAGCAUGUGCGCGAGUCAUUGGGAAUCACUAAACCUAAAGGCGUAAUGAAAGUAAAGGUCUUCCUCGCGAAGACUGAGGGAAGACGGGCGGUUCACCCUUAAAAGUGGCCGCUCCGCAUUCCCGGGGCGUCUCGUUCUCAUUGCGAGAAGAGGCGCACCAAGAGCGUACACGCUGGGACCCGAAAGAUGGUGAACUAUGCCUGGUCAGGACGAAGUCAGGGGAAACCCUGAUGGAGGUCCGUAGCGAUUCUGACGUGCAAAUCGAUCGUCGGAACUGGGUAUAGGGGCGAAAGACUAAUCGAACCAUCUAGUAGCUGGUUCCCUCCGAAGUUUCCCUCAGGAUAGCUGGCGCUCGUUGCGCACGAGUCUCAUCCGGUAAAGCGAAUGAUUAGAGGCAUUGGGGUCGAAACGACCUCAACCUAUUCUCAAACUUUAAAUGGGUGAGAUCUCCGGCUUGCUCGAACUAUUGAAGCCGCGAGACACGGAUCAGAGUGCCAAGUGGGCCAUUUUUGGUAAGCAGAACUGGCGCUGUGGGAUGAACCAAACGUCGAGUUAAAGCGCCAAAAUCGACGCUUAUGGGAUACCAUGAAAGGCGUUGGUAACUUAAGACAGCAGGACGGUGGCCAUGGAAGUCGGAAUCCGCCAAGGAGUGUGUAACAACUCACCUGCCGAAGUUACUAGCCCUGAAAAUGGAUGGCGCUGAAGCGUCGUGCUUAUACUCGACCGUCAGUGGCAUGUGCGAUCGAUCUUUUUUAAGAUCGAUCAUGAAGCCCUGACGAGUAGGAGGGUCGCGGCGGUGUGCGCAGAAGGGCUGGCCGUGAGGCCGUCUGGAGCCGCCGUCGGUGCAGAUCUUGGUGGUAGUAGCAAAUACUCCAGCGAGGCCCUGGAGGACUGACGUGGAGAAGGGUUUCGUGUGAACAGCCGUUGCACACGAGUCAGUCGAUCCUAAGCCCUAGGCGAAAGCCGAUGUCGAUGUGGUGUAGAUUUAUAUUAAAAGAAUCGUCGUCUUAGUUAGUGUCGUCGUCGUCGUCGUCGUCGUCGUCGUUU